AACGAACGCUGGCGGCAUGCCUAACACAUGCAAGUCGAACGAGACCUUCGGGUCUAGUAGCGCACGGGUGCGUAACGCGUGGGAAUCUGCCCUUGGGUUCGGAAUAACAGUUAGAAAUGACUGCUAAUACCGGAUAAUGUCUUCGGACCAAAGAUUUAUCGCCCAGGGAUGAGCCCGCGUAGGAUUAGCUAGUUGGUGAGGUAAAGGCUCACCAAGGCGACGAUCCUUAGCUGGUCUGAGAGGAUGAUCAGCCACACUGGGACUGAGACACGGCCCAGACUCCUACGGGAGGCAGCAGUGGGGAAUAUUGGACAAUGGGCGAAAGGCCUGAUCCAGCAAUGCCGCGUGAGUGAUGAAGGCCUUAGGGUUGUAAACCUCUUUCACCAGGGACGAAGCGCAAGUGACGGUACCUGGAGAAGAAGCACCGGCCAACUACGUGCCAGCAGCCGCGGUAAU
rnacentral:rRNA from 1 species